rnacentral:rRNA from 1 species
UACGGAGGGUGCAAGCGUUAUCCGGAUUCACUGGGUUUAAAGGGAGCGUAGGUGGGGUGGUAAGUCAGUGGUGAAAUCUCCGGGCUUAACUCGGAAACUGCCGUUGAUACUAUCAUUCUUGAAUAUUGUGGAGGUAAGCGGAAUAUGUCAUGUAGCGGUGAAAUGCUUAGAUAUGACAUAGAACACCAAUAGCGAAGGCAGCUUGCUACACAAUUAUUGACACUGAGGCUCGAAAGCGUGGGGAUCAAACAGG